UGCGGGAUGGAGCAGUCUGGUAGUUCGUCGGGCUCAUAACCCGAAGGUCGUUGGUUCAAAUCCAGCUCCCGCUACCA
rnacentral:tRNA from 1 species